GAUCCUGGCUCAGGAUGAACGCUAGCUACAGGCUUAACACAUGCAAGUCGAGGGGAAACGACAUCGAAAGCUUGCUUUUGAUGGGCGUCGACCGGCGCACGGGUGAGUAACGCGUAUCCAAUCUGCCCACCACUUGGGGAUAACCUUGCGAAAGUAAGACUAAUACCCAAUGAUAUCUCUAGAAGACAUCUGAAAGAGAUUAAAGAUUUAUCGGUGGUGGAUGGGGAUGCGUCUGAUUAG
rnacentral:rRNA from 1 species